rnacentral:lncRNA from 1 species
CUUAGUAGGGUUGAAAAUUACUUUGUUAUUGAGCCUAAGAACAGCAAGAAACAAAUUCGUCCAGGAAAACAUGGGAAUAUAAUCUUUAUCUGCCCCUGACAUGCUAAAAUAAGUUAACAUGGAAACGAGGCCAUUGGGUAAAAGAGGAUAAUCGGUAAGAUCCAUUAACUAGAACUGAUACUCUCGCAUCAUUUUCCAGGGUUUUAUAUGUCCGUCAUGCUACUGGGGUUUCUUAAAUGCCGAAGAUCUUCAAGCGCAUUGGGACAAAGAACAUGCUGAAGCACAGGUUACAGAAAGUUCAGAAACAGCUUCAAAG